GGGGAUUUAGCUCAAUGGUAGAGCACUUGCCUAGCAAGUGCAAGGCCCUGGGUUCAGUCCUCA
rfam:Rattus norvegicus chromosome 9, whole genome shotgun sequence.